GGCUCGUUGGUCUAGUGGUAAUGAUACUCGCACACAGUGCGAGUGGUCCCGGGUUCAAAUCCCGGACGAGCCA